UACGUAGGGUGCAAGCGUUAAUCGGAAUUACUGGGCGUAAAGCGUGCGCAGGCGGUGAUGUAAGACAGAUGUGAAAUCCCCGGGCUCAACCUGGGACUGCAUUUGUGACUGCAUCGCUGGAGUGCGGCAGAGGGGGAUGGAAUUCCGCGUGUAGCAGUGAAAUGCGUAGAUAUGCGGAGGGAACACCGAUGGCGAAGGCAAUCCCCUGGGCCUGCACUGAUCUCAUGCACGAAAGCGUGGGGAGCAAACAGG
rnacentral:rRNA from 1 species